CGAACGCUGGCGGCGUGCUAACACAUGCAAGUCGAACGCGAAAGGGGACUUCGGUCCUGAGUAAAGUGGCGCACGGGUGAGUAACGCGUAGAUAACCUGUCUUCAUGUCUGGAAUAAUACGCCAAAGGGGUACUAAUACCGGAUAUUCUUGCUUUUCAUAAGUUAUGCAAGCAAAGGUGGCCUCUGCAUAUGCUACUGCAUGAAGAGGGGUCUGCGUACCAUUAGCUAGUAGGUGGGGUAAUGGCCUACCUAGGCGACGAUGGUUAGCGGGUCUGAGAGGAUGAUCCGCCACACUGGCACUGGAACACGGGCCAGACUCCUACGGGAGGCAGCAGUGAGGAAUAUUGCGCAAUGGGGGAAACCCUGACGCAGCGACGCCGCGUGAGUGAGGAAGGCCUUCGGGUCGUAAAGCUCUGUCAAGAGGAAAGAAGUGUACAAUGGCUAAUACCUGUUGUAUUUGACGGUACCUCUAAAGGAAGCACCGGCUAACUCCGUGCCAGCCGCCGC
rnacentral:rRNA from 1 species